rnacentral:lncRNA from 1 species
UAAUGAAAGUAGAAAGAAUCCUCAAGUAUCUUACGUUUUCUGUAUGAAUUUUGAUUUAUUAAAUGUUGGGCAUGGCCGAUGAUGCAUGUUUAUCAAUAUAUCGUUUAUACAUCAGUAUACAAUAAUGCCUUCUGCUUAGCUUAUAGCUGGAGUGCGGUCUAAAUAUGUGAACAAACGUUCUUGCAGCAUCAUCCCGGAGGAUGGGAGAAGGAAGGCUUAUGCAGAAGCCCUUGCAAAAGCCAGGAAAGAGGAAGAGGCUACAAGAGCAACAGAGAAAUCUCGUCUAGCUGCGGAAGCAGCAAAGAUGCGCAAAGAAGAGUUAAAGAAACUUGCAAAGCAGGAAGCUGAGGCGGCCAGUUUUGCAGAACAAGCCCAAGAGAAGGCGGCUGCUGCAGGAGUUUCAGUUGAGAGCCUCUUAAGUAAAGCCCAAGGCAUAAGCUCAGGACUAUCUUGGGAAAACCUGAGCUCACAGCUGAAAUCAGCUGUUCAGCAACCUGCGGAAGCAGCAAAGAUGCGCAAAGAAGAGUUAAAGAAACUUGCAAAGCAGGAAGCUGAGGCUGCCAGUUUUGCAGAACAAGCCCAAGAGAAGGCGGCUGCUUCAGGAGUUUCAGUUGAG